rnacentral:rRNA from 1 species
CGCGCAGGCGGCCAGGUCAGUCGAAUGUGAAAGCCCCCGGCUCAACUGGGGAAGGUCAUUCGAUACUGCCUGGCUUGAAGAUAGGAGAGGGAAGCGGAAUUUCAGGUGUAGUGGUGAAAUGCGUAGAUAUCUGAAGGAGCACCAGUGGCGAAGGCGGCUUUCUGGCCUAUUCUUGACGCUGAGGCGCGAAAGCUAGGGGAGCGAACG